rnacentral:rRNA from 1 species
GCGCAGCAGGCGCGAAUCCUCCGCAAUACACGAAAGUGUGACGGGGCCAUCCCGAGUGCCGUCCGCUGAGGACGGCUUUUCCCCAGUGUACAUAGCUGGGGGAAUAAGGAGAGGGCAAGCCUGGUGUCAGCCGCCGCGGUAAUACCAGCUCUCCGAGUGGUGGGGACGCUUAUUGGGCCUAAAGCAUCCGUAGCCGGCUGGGCGAAGUCCUCCGUUAAAUCCAACGAUUCAAUCGUUGGGCUGCGGGGGAGUACUGUCCAGCUUGGGGGCGGGAGGAGGCGACGGUA